GAUGAACGCUGGCGGCGUGCCUAAUACAUGCAAGUCGAGCGAACAGACGAGGAGCUUGCUCCUCUGACGUUAGCGGCGGACGGGUGAGUAACACGUGGAUAACCUACCUAUAAGACUGGGAUAACUUCGGGAAACCGGAGCUAAUACCGGAUAAUAUAUUGAACCGCAUGGUUCAAUAGUGAAAGACGGUUUUGCUGUCACUUAUAGAUGGAUCCGCGCCGCAUUAGCUAGUUGGUAAGGUAACGGCUUACCAAGACAACGAUGCGUAGCCGACCUGGGAGGGUGAUCGGCCACACUGGAACUGAGACACGGUCCAGACUCCUACGGGAGGCAGCAGUAGGGAAUCUUCCGCAAUGGGCGAAAGCCUGACGGAGCAACGCCGCGUGAGUGAUGAAGGUCUUCGGAUCGUAAAACUCUGUUAUUAGGGAAGAACAAAUGUGUAAGUAACUAUGCACGUCUUGACGGUACCUAAUCAGAAAGCCACGGCUAACUACGUG
rnacentral:rRNA from 1 species